rnacentral:rRNA from 1 species
UACGUAGGGGGCAAGCGUUGUCCGGAAUCAUUGGGCGUAAAGCGCGUGUAGGCGGCUCGGUAAGUCUGCUGUGAAAGUCCAGGGCUCAACCCUGGGAUGCCGGUGGAUACUGUCGAGCUCGAGUCCGGAAGAGGCGAGUGGAAUUCCUGGUGUAGCGGUGGAAUGCGCAGAUAUCAGGAAGAACACCAACGGCGAAGGCAGCUCGCUGGGACGGAACUGACGCUAAGGCGCGAAAGCGUGGGGAGCGAACAGG